rnacentral:rRNA from 1 species
UACGUAGGGUGCAAGCGUUGUCCGGAAUUAUUGGGCGUAAAGAGCUCGUAGGCGGCUUGUUGCGUCGGCUGUGAAAUCCCGGGGCUUAACUCCGGGCGUGCAGCCGAUACGGGCAGGCUAGAGUCCGGUAGGGGAGACUGGAAUUCCUGGUGUAGCGGUGAAAUGCGCAGAUAUCAGGAGGAACACCGGUGGCGAAGGCGGCUCUCUGGGACGGUACUGACGCUGAGGAGCGAAAGCGUGGGGAGCGAACAGG